rnacentral:rRNA from 1 species
GGGGAAUAUUGCGCAAUGGGGGGAACCCUGACGCAGCAACGCCGCGUGAGCGAGGAAGGCCUUCGGGUCGUAAAGCUCCGUCUAGAGGGAUGAAUGAUGACAGUACCUCUGGAGGAAGCCCCGGCUAACUACGUGCCAGCAGCCGCGGUAACACGUAGGGGGCGAGCGUUGUCCGGAAUUACUGGGCGUAAAGGGCGCGUAGGCGGUAGGUUAAGUCGGAUGUGAAAGUCCAUGGCUCAACCAUGGAAUUGCAUAUGAAACUGAUCUACUUGAGUUCAGGAGAGGAGAGCGGAAUUCCUAGUGUAGCGGUGAAAUGCGUAGAGAUUAGGAAGAACACCAGUGGCGAAGGCGGCUCUCUGGACUGUAACUGACGCUGAGGCGCGAAAGCGUGGGUAGCGAAC